AUUGAACGCUGGCGGCAUGCCUUACACAUGCAAGUCGAACGGCAGCGCGGACUUCGGUCUGGCGGCGAGUGGCGAACGGGUGAGUAAUACAUCGGAACGUACCCUGUUGUGGGGGAUAACUAGUCGAAAGAUUAGCUAAUACCGCAUACGACCUGAGGGUGAAAGUGGGGGACCGCAAGGCCUCACGCAGCAGGAGCGGCCGAUGUCUGAUUAGCUAGUUGGUGGGGUAAAGGCCCACCAAGGCGACGAUCAGUAGCUGGUCUGAGAGGACGAUCAGCCACACUGGGACUGAGACACGGCCCAGACUCCUACGGGAGGCAGCAGUGGGGAAUUUUGGACAAUGGGGGCAACCCUGAUCCAGCAAUGCCGCGUGUGUGAAGAAGG
rnacentral:rRNA from 1 species